rnacentral:rRNA from 1 species
AGCGGCGGACGGGUGAGUAACGCGUGGGUAACCUGCCCUGUACACACGGAUAACAUACCGAAAGGUAUGCUAAUACGAGAUAAUAUGCUUUUAUCGCAUGGUAGAAGUAUCAAAGCUUUUGCGGUACAGGAUGGACCCGCGUCUGAUUAGCUAGUUGGUAAGGUAACGGCUUACCAAGGCGACGAUCAGUAGCCGACCUGAGAGGGUGAUCGGCCACAUUGGAACUGAGACACGGCCCAAACUCCUACGGGAGGCAGCAGUGGGGAAUGUUGCACAAUGGGCGAAAGUCUGAUGCAGCAACGCCGCGUGAGCGAUGAAAGCCUUCGGGUCGUAAAGUUCUGUCCUCAAGGAAGAUAAUGACGGUACUUGAGGAGGAAGCCCCGGCUAACUACGUGCCAGCAGCCGCGGUAAUACGUAGGGGGCUAGCGUUAUCCGGAUUUACUGGGCGUAAAGGGUGCGUAGGUGGUUUCUUAAGUCAGAGGUGAAAGGCUACGGCUCAACCGUAGUAAGCCUUUGAAACUGGGAAACUUGAGUGCAGGAGAGGAGAGUGGAAUUCCUAGUGUAGCGGUGAAAUGCGUAGAUAUUAGGAGGAACACCAGUUGCGAAGGCGGCUCUCUGGACUGUAACUGACACUGAGGCACGAAAGCGUGGGGAGCAAACAGGAUUAGAUACCCUGGUAGUCCACGCCGUAAACGAUGAGUACUAGCUGU